UACAGAGGGGGCAAGCGUUGUUCGGAAUACUGGGCGUAAAGGGCGCGUAGGCGCCUUCUAAGUCGAACGUGAAAUCCCCGGGCUCAACCCGGGAACUGCGUCCGAUACUGGAAGGCUUGAAUCCGGGAGAGGGAUGCGGAAUUCCAGGUGUAGCGGUGAAAUGCGUAGAUAUCUGGAGGAACACCGGUGGCGAAGGCGGCAUCCUGGACCGGCAUUGACGCUGAGGCGCGAAAGCCAGGGGAGCAAACGGG
rnacentral:rRNA from 1 species